rnacentral:rRNA from 1 species
AGAGUUUGAUCCUGGCUCAGGACGAACGCUGGCGGCGUGCUUAACACAUGCAAGUCGAACGGAAAGGCCCUUCGGGGUACUCGAGUGGCGAACGGGUGAGUAACACGUGGGUGAUCUGCCCUGCACUUUGGGAUAAGCCUGGGAAACUGGGUCUAAUACCGAAUAGGACCGCGCUCUUCAUGGGGUGUGGUGGAAAGCUUUUGCGGUGUGGGAUGGGCCCGCGGCCUAUCAGCUUGUUGGUGGGGUAAUGGCCUACCAAGGCGACGACGGGUAGCCGGCCUGAGAGGGUGACCGGCCACACUGGGACUGAGAUACGGCCCAGACUCCUACGGGAGGCAGCAGUGGGGAAUAUUGCACAAUGGGCGCAAGCCUGAUGCAGCGACGCCGCGUGAGGGAUGACGGCCUUCGGGUUGUAAACCUCUUUCAAUAGGGACGAAGCGCAAGUGACGGUACCUAUAGAAGAAGGACCGGCCAACUACGUGCCAGCAGCCGCGGUAAUACGUAGGGUCCGAGCGUUGUCCGGAAUUACUGGGCGUAAAGAGCUCGUAGGUGGUUUGUCGCGUUGUUCGUGAAAACUCACAGCUUAACUGUGGGCGUGCGGGCGAUACGGGCAGACUAGAGUACUGCAGGGGAGACUGGAAUUCCUGGUGUAGCGGUGGAAUGAGCAGAUAUCAGGAGGAACACCGGUGGCGAAGGCGGGUCUCUGGGCAGUAACUGACGCUGAGGAGCGAAAGCGUGGGGAGCGAACAGGAUUAGAUACCCUGGUAGUCCAA